CCGCCCCGCGCGCGCCAGGCUUUCCCGCCGCGGUACCCUGGUCCGCACCCCGCGCCCGUCUGGAGUGCUCCAGUCGGCCCCGGGGCUGGGCCAGGCAGCCUGGGAGCCGAUCCACAUCUUCCCCUCGAUGGCGAGGCAGUCGAUUUACCCAGAGCCACCCAGCGACAGUGCGCUAGAGCCAGGACGGAACCGGGGGGCUUGGCCUCUGGAGCGAGGGCUGCAGCCCCAGGGCAGCCGCCCAGCGGCUCCACACGGAACCCUCACCAGGCCUUUGUGGUUUACCACCCUGAGCCGACUCUGCCCCGAUGUUAAGUGACCCCAUCCCUGUUUCACAGUCGCCCUGGGAGACCUGCUUCUGACCUCUUAGAGAAGAGCAAACGGAAGUCUGGGAGGUGGCUAGUGACUUGGAAUCUCUCAGCUCUACCGAGAGCUGGUGAAGCCAGGGGUCCAGACACCCAGCCUGGUGUAUUUCAGACAAGAGGCUGCAAAGUGGGGUAUGGAGCCUGCCAGCAACUCAGUCAUGCAGGUCCUCUGUCUUGUUGCCUGGAGGCCGGAGCUCCAGCCCAUAUCUCCUGAGAAAUGGGAAGACACGAAAGCUGCGAUGUUGGCUGCAUUUAAUUAAAAUAUGCUAUCCGUCUUUUCAAAAAAAAAAUAAUAAUUAAGAGUUUGUGUUGGAUUUGACAAAACUAAUCCUAUUUAAUAUCAUCAUUUUUUUUCCCCCUUUAACUUAGACAACCCCACAAUACAGGUCUCAUCUGAUUGUUGUGACUGAAAGACAGAGAGGCCUUGCCUUGUUCAUGGUCUUAUUACUGUACCCCCGGUGCCUGGGUCUCAGAUGUUCAAAAACUUUUUUUGAAUGAAUGAACUGACUUACGGGUGGGGAAUCUGAGAUUUAGGACUUACUGAAGUAAAGGUCGCUGUAAUAGUGACAGAGCUGAGGCUCAAAAUAAUGUUUUCUGACACAGAAGCGGAGGCCCUUUGUAAUUCCAUACUAUCUCAGGAUCAGAUUGUUCAAACUGAAGAAGGGGACCUCAAAUACCACCAAGUCCAUCCCGAUGACCUCCCAGUGAAGAUAUGAGCUGGAAGCUUUGCCAACACACAGCUCCUUGUUUUAGUUUGGAUGACUACAUUCAAGACGACAGUGAUCAUGAUGAUUCUGGCAAGAACAGGACAGAGGUGGUGCUGCAUACGUACUGUGUCUUAGCAGGAGAUCCAGAAUGUUUGGUCCUACUUUUGGUGAUGUUAAGAUUGAUGGUGCUGAGCACAGUGGUGCACAUCUGUAAUCCCAGUGGCUUGUGAGGCUGAGGCAGGAGGAUGAAACAAAACAAAACAGAAAAGAAAAAAGAUUGAUUGAUGGAGUCUCUCUUUUCCUGGCAAUCGUGGAAGUUUGAACAUAACCAGGGUAUUAGAUGAAGUUCUCUGCGUGGGCUUACUCUGGCCAGCUUUUCCUAUGUGAUGCCAAGAUGGCUGCUACCAGUGCUGUGAUGACAUCCCUAUAGCUUACUAACCCACAUGGAAAGAGAGCUGCCUUUGCUCAGCAGCUCCAAGAUGCUUCUGUUUUGGGUUGCACAGACUUGAAUCAAGCAUCCAUCCCUGAGCCAGUGCUUUGGCUGGGGAAGCAGGGACCGUGUGCCUCCCCCAGAUCCCUUCCUGAACCUCAUGGACGGUCACUGAGGAAAGGUUGAUUCCCCCAAGUCAAAUUCAGGUGCUGCCACCAGUAAUGAUGUGCUGGUGAGAAGCUGGGCUGGCAGCGGUCAGUCAGGCAAAUGCCCAUCCAGUGCCCUCAUGGGGAGGCAUUGGCUCCUACCCAAACACUGUGAGCUGGGUGGCAGGGUCUUCGCCACCUACCACGGAUCUCAUUCUCUCUCUUGUGUUCUAUGGACAUCUGCUUCUCAGAACUUCCACCCACUGGCCCCUUGUCUGUCCGCUGCAGCCGCCCAUGUCCGCCAUCCCCUUCCCACGCUGCAGACCAACUGGCAUUUGAAAGCAGCCAGAAUCUGUCCCAGCUUUCUCUCUUCAGGCCUGUCAGCCUCGCUGGGUCUUUCAGGUCCUUUACUAGUGUGCUGGUGCUCUGUGUGGGCACAAGAUCCUCCAGGGCUGAAGACAGUGUGUACCUGUUUCUUCAUCUGUAAAUUGAAGAUAGCAUCUGCCAUUUAGAGUCUGUUGUAAGGAUUAAGUGAGCAUGGUAUAGCCAGGCACAGUGGCACAUGCCUGUAAUCCCAGCGACUUGGGAGACUGAGGCAGGAGGAUUACAAGUUCAAGGCCAGCCUGGGCAAC